GACGAACGCUGGCGGCGUGCUUAACACAUGCAAGUCGAACGGUGAUGCUCCAGCUUGCUGGUGUGGAUAAGUGGCGAACGGGUGAGUAACACGUGAGCAACCUGCCCCCGAUUCUGGAAUAAGCGCUGGAAACGGCCUCUAAUACUUGAUGCGUAACUGCCCCGCACGGGAAUGGUGUGGAAAGUUUUUCGGCUUGGGAUGGGGUCGCGGCCUAUCAGCUUGUGGGUGAGGUAAUGGCUCACCAAGGCGACGACGGGUGGCCGGCCUGAGAGGGAGACCGGCCCCACUGGGACUGAGACAGGGCCCGGACUCCUACGUGCGGAAGCAGUGGGAGAUAGUGCACAAUGGGCGAAAUCCUGAUGCAGCGCCUCCGCGUGAGAGAUGACGGCCUUCCGGUUGUAAACCUCUUUCAGCAGGGAAGAAGCGGAAGUGACGGUACCUGAAGAAGAAGCACCGGCUAACUACGUG
rnacentral:rRNA from 1 species